rnacentral:lncRNA from 1 species
GCCGCUUUGCCACACUGACCCUGCAGGAGCGGCGGGACCGGGGGGCUGAGAAGGAACACAAGCGCUACCACAGCCUGGGGAACAUCAGCCGUGGGGGCAGUGGGGGCAAUAGCAGCAAUGACAAGCUCAAUGGCCCUGCCCCCCGCAGCCGCUUGGACCCAGCCAAGGUGCUGGGCACAGCCCUGUGCCCUCGAAUCCAUGAGGUCCCACUGCUGGAGCCUCUGGUGUGCAAGAAGAUCGCUCAGGAGCGCCUCACCGUGCUUCUGUUCCUGGAGGACUGCAUCAUCACUGCCUGCCAAGAGGGCCUCGUCUGCACCUGGGCCCGGCCCGGCAAGGCGGGCAUCUCCUCCCAACCAGGCAGCUCCCCCAGUGGCACUGUGGUGUGAAACGUGGAUGUCCCAUGUCCCUGGCCUCCUAGCCAUAACCCUCCCUGCUGACCUCAAGAAUCACUGUAUUAACAAGACUAAUCAUGACGGAAGGACUCCUUCAAGCCCCCACCCUGCACAAAUACUGGGGGUCCCCUAGGUUGGCCCAGCCAUGGGGAUGUAGUGGCCUGUGUGGCCUUGACUCUGUCCUCUGAAACAUCAGUGUUAACCGUCCCAGUCCCAGCAUGUGACUGUUCACUCCUGGGAGAGACUUAGCCCACAACAGCCCAGCUCCACAGCACCCCUUGGGUGAGAGGGCAGGGCAGGGGCUCCCCCUCCAGCCUGAACCCCACCCCUUGCUAUGGUCUGUGCUUUUGAAAGUGUUAAAUUAUGGACGCCCCCAGGGCCCUCCUUGUCCCCUUAGCCCUCUUAUUUAUACUAAAGUCCUUGUUUGC